AGCAGAGAGGCCACAUCGGACAGGAUGAAGCUCUGCAUUCACACAAAAUCCGGUAAUGUGGUACCUUCCCACAGGAUUGGGCAGAGGUGUGCGGAGGGGUGGGUGUGUUUAUUUGUGCUUUAGGACGUAACCGCCGUGAAACAAUCAGAAAGUAACAUUUUAUUUCUCUGAUUCGCAGCUUUGUUCUCUCCAGUGCCGCUCCCUCUCUUCAUUCACUCUAGCUCGCUCAACCACUGCUACUGUCUCUCUCUCUCUCUCUCUGAGCCAGCGAGGAGGGGUCAACUUUGAAUGCUGUGUGUUUACAAACACCAACCAACAAAUCCUGCGUAGUAUACCUUUAAGACAACUCUUAGGCUAUGUUUCAAUGCUGGAGUUCAUCUAUAAUAUCGACUUCAUUAAGCUUCAUAUAAGCUUUGUAGCAUCUUUCAUGUCACUUUUAUUGAUAACAAUGGAGGUUUAUGUGAACCUGCCUAUAAAUUAAUGUAAUUUAUUGUAGAUACUUUAUGAAUCAUUAAUGAAUGACUGACUUAAAAUGACUAAAAUGCCUUAAUGUCUUAAAAUCUUCAUAAGGAAGGUAGAAGUCGGAGGACAGUCAUUCUGACAAGAUCUGUUCUUGUUAGCCCAUCACUCAGAGAACAGUUUCAUAUAACAUCACUGUCCCCUAUCGAAUAAUGGCCAAGAGCAACACAUCCACAGUGAUGGCACAGAUAUGUGCUUUGGGGGAGCAGCAGUUGUUCCCCUGGUCUCCUCCACUUUUAAAACAACACUUUUUGUUUAACUUCUUGCACAGUUUUCUGUGACAAGUCACAUUCACCUCCUCCAUAAUAUCCUUUCAUACUCUGUAGGCAUUUUUCUGUUGUACAAUUGUAAGAAUCUUUGUUAUUCUUUGGUGCCAUUUUGAAGGAUAUUAAUGAUGAGUGUUUACUCUGGGAUUACUUAGGCAGUGCCAAUAUGUUAAGUCAUGAUAAUUAGUAUCCACACAUGCACAUGCUCCCGAAGGUUUGAAAAAUGGUAAUAGUUGAUCAUUGGUAUUUUUAUCAGGAAGAUCACACACCUAUUAAAAAACAUUGAUAAAUGUGAUCUACUAUGUGUUUCAGGGAAGAUAAGCAUUGGUAUAGCAGAUAUACACAAGAGGCAAAUCAAAGCCAAGAAGAUUAUUCAUUGACUUCCUACUACUUCAAAUAGUCACAGACGUUUUCAAUGUAAAUUAACAGCUGAUCAAAAACUACCAGCUCAUGAUAAACAAUGUUUCCAGCUAAUGUUUAACUCUAAGUGAGGCACACAGAUAAUCCUGUUAUUUCUGGUGCAGUACCUCUGGGCACCAUUUUAAGCAGGAAAAAAUAUUAACCUCAGAAAAAUAGAUUUCUGCUGCUACAUAUUGGUAGACAACAACAACAAAGACUUAAUAAUCUACAUGAUACCAUUAUGAAAAAACUACAUACCAUUCAAAAUAGAAACAGAUCAUGUGAAAUAGAAGAAAGUCCAAUGUACAAAUUGUACGUAAUGCAUCAUGUUAAGAGAAUACAACAGCUCUGUGGGUGACGCCUUUCAAGUCCUCCUUGACCAAUCAACAGGUCAUGCAGAACAUCCAUUUAAAGGGGAAAACCACCAAAUUUCACCCUGUUAAUGCUAGCAUACAUUGUUAUAUAUUUAAUGUUAUUUGUCUUCAGUGUUGAGUUGCUUGUGUGUAUAAAUUAGGCUGCACUUAGACCAAAAUUCACCAUGGAUUAGUCCAACAGUUUAAGUUUUAAAGACACAAAGACCAUUUUACAUGCUUUUAUCCUCUCGCACCUUGAUUAUUGCAUCAGCUUCUUUACUUGUCUUAACAAAAAAUCUAUUGCUUGACUACAGACUGUACAGAACUUGUCUGCCAGGAUAUUAACCAGAGCCAAUAGUUUUAACCUACCUACACUUUCGGCUUUUGGCCACUGACAGGAAGGUAGACCAAAUGAGAAAUAAUGAAAAAAAUGAGUAAAUCAUCUAAUGAAUAAAGGGAGGAGGGAAGGAACAAACAAUAUGCAAGUGAGUAACUUUCUGCAUCUAAUGUGUAAAAAAUGAAUAAUCUUUUAUUUGUGUAUGAUUACACUAUUUUGUGUGUAUGUGUGCGUAGGCAUGUGUGACAAAUAGUCAGCAAAAAACAUAUUAAAGCUAGGAAAGCAGAAACAGUGUUUACCAAUAUCCUACAAAUACUAUUCAUAUUAAAUACUCUUACUGCUCUUAGCUUAGCCUAAGAAAAGAGUUAAUUUAGGGAAGUCAAAGAGAGAGACAAGAAGAUUUCAGUGCAGAGGUGUGGUUGCAAGGUAUGAUGCUCUUUUAGAUCUUGUCAUUGGUCAUGUGAGGAAAAUCUCAGCACACACACAUAAAAUAAAUAUUUAGCAACCCGACCAAUUUGACAAAAAUAUAUAAAAAUAUCUGAACUUUAAUGUGGACUCUACUGUAUCCGAUAUUCACACAUUACUGAUUUUUUGUUGGCUGGCUAACUGUUAGUUACAGCCUUUCUGUGCUAAUUUCCUGUUAUUCAAGCUGUGUUUCUCCACUUUCUUACACUUCAGGUGGCCACUUUCUCCCCUGCAUGAGACAGUCCUGGAUCCAGAUGCUUAAACGACGUCUAUGCACAAAAACUAUGUAUACGCCAUUUAUCAACUGGACAAUGAGCAUCUCUGCUGGACCAGCGGGAGCAAAGUCUUUUGCUUAAGGCAUUUCAACAGAUGGUACACUGAGGACCACAAUGCUGCCACGCCUCUCACAUUACUUCUGUACACAGUUGCUUCAGUGUAUGAACAUAUGAUUACAUGAUCAGAUGAAAUGUGCUGGAGAUGUCUUUUAAAUGUAAAAAAAAAAAAGUGCUGGAACUUAGGGCAAAUGUUAGUUAUUAAUUUGCAAGAUGAAGCUUAUUAAAUGUGCUAAAACAUCUAACAUGCUUUCAGAUUAGUUUAAAUUCCAACCCUGAUUAAUCCAAAAUCAGCUGUUAACAUAAAACAUGACUUUUGUGUGUAUGUGACCUUUUGCAUCCGAUGAAAACAAUCAGGUACAAGAGUUAACCAAUGGCUGUAACAUUUAGAAAAAAUCCUCUCUAAAAAACAAUCUGCAUAGAUGUGAACAUAGAUGUUCAAUGUUCAUAAAAUAUCCUCGUUCCAAGGCGAGGAGGGAAGCUCUUCUCAAGUAUCUCGAGUCAUGUGCCAAAGAUGGCCAACAGUCUGCAGGGUUUUAUUUCAAAUGUAAGACCAUCACGUGAUUCAAACCUCAUGUGCUCAGGAUGAAAAUCUAAAGGCACAUCACCCUCCAAGGCAUAUGACUGUAUCUCUUGAAUUGAACUACUGUUUGUUCUUAAAGCCAUAGUUCGACAUUUUGGGAAAUACAUGUGCCAGGCUAUUUCUUGGCCAAUAGCAGUGAUUUCCUGAAGUGCUAAGCUCAUUGGCUGCUGGCUGUAGUUGUCUUAUAUUGAAAUUAAAGGACAGAUAUGACAGCGGUAUAGAUCUUCUCAUCUAACUCCCGGCAAGAAAGUGAAUGAGAGUAUUUCCCAAAAUGUCAAGCUAUUCCUUUAACAACUCAGUGAUUUUUUUCCCCAUAUUACUGUUUCACACAAGUCUAAAUGUCACUGUAAAAGACUUUUUAAAAAUGUGUCUCUGGGUAACCACGUCAGAAUUCCUAACUUUAUAAAAUUACAGAGGUUUUUCAGUUUGUUCAUUCUUGUGCCUCUCUUCCUUUGCUUUAAAUGCAGAACACAAGUCACAAGAGGGCUAGCUGAAA